UCAACGAAGCACAAAGCACACUGAAAUACAACUCUUCCUCCUUCUCGCCCAACUGCUACUAAGCUUUUCAUUUCCUUAUUCUCUUCAUUUACUCCACUAUUCUCCACCAAAGCAGAUUGUUGGUUUUUAAUCCUUCUACAACGUCAUUCUCUGAGUCAUCAAGAGCGAUGUUUGGAGAGCGAGAAAGCGUAGGGUAAGAAAGAUGCGCAGGAUAUAUAAAACGGCUCUCAUCACCACCUUGCGCAAAUUAGGGCUACUCUUUGAACAAUUCUCAGUUUCAACUUUCAAUCAAAUGCAUCACUGAUUUGUUGGUUGAUAACUGCAAGUUCAUCGCAAUAGUUACUUACAAUGCCAUGAACAAAUGUACAUGUCACUCAGCCCACCAUCGCAGAAUUGAUCAAUACUUUCGAUGCCAGAAGACAGGUUGACGUUUAUUCAGAAUUGGGGUACACAAAAGACCUUGUUGGUCUACCUUGACCAUCGUGCCCCCCGUACUUUCUGUUGAAAGCAGUGUUGGGUCAAACGAGAUGAGUGAGUCCGUUCAAUGGACUGCUGAACUCACCCAUAGGUUCUUAGAACUGUUGGCUGAGCGGGUGAAAACAACCCACGGAGGAUUAGUGAACAAUUACAAAAUGUAGCACAGAAGAAACUGGAAGUGCAACAGUUG